CGGGGUGUAGCUCAGCUUGGUAGAGCGCUCGCUUUGGGAGCGAGAAGUCGCAGGUUCAAUUCCUGUCAUCCCGA
rnacentral:tRNA from 1 species